GUGCUCACUGUGGCAGCACACAUUCUAAAACUGGAACAAGAGAGAAAAGAUUAGCAGAGCCCUGCACAAGGAUGACAAGUAAAUUCGUGAAGCAUUCCAUAUUUUU
ensembl:snRNA U6 U6 spliceosomal RNA